rnacentral:rRNA from 1 species
ACGCUCGACACCUACUGGAGGCAGCAGUGGGGAAUAUUGCACAAUGGGGGAAACCCUGAUGCAGCGACGCCGCGUGAGUGAAGAAGUAUUUCGGUAUGUAAAGCUCUAUCAGCAGGGAAGAAAAUGACGGUACCUGAGUAAGAAGCCCCGGCUAACUACGUGCCAACAGCCGCGGUAAUCUGAGCGGGCUGGCAAGGC